UGAAUGUGUCCUUCUGAAGGAUCCCUGAGAGGAGGUGUUUAGUGAAUGUGUCCUUCUGAAGGAUCCCUGAGAGGAGGUGAUUAGUGAAUGUGUCCUUCUGAAGGAUCCCUGAGAGGAGGUGAUUAGUGAAUGUGUCCUUCUGAAGGAUCCCUGAGAGGAGGUGAUUAGUGAAUGUGUCCUUCUGAAGGAUCCCUGAGAGGAGGUGAUUAGUGAAUGUGUCCUUCUGAAGGAUCCCUGAGAGGAGGUGAUUAGUGAAUGUGUCCUUCUGAAGGAUCCCUGAGAGGAGGUGAUUAGUGAAUGUGUCCUUCUGAAGGAUCCCUGAGAGGAGGUGAUUAGUGAAUGUGUCCUUCUGAAGGAUCCCUGAGAGGAGGUGAUUAGUGAAUGUGUCCUUCUGAAGGAUCCCUGAGAGGAGGUGAUUAGUGAAUGUGUCGUUCUGAAGGAUCACUGAGAGGAGGUGAUUAGUGAAUGUGUCGUUCUGAAGGAUCACUGAGAGGAGGUGAUUAGUGAAUGUGUCGUUCUGAAGGAUCCCUGAGAGGAGGUGAUUAGUGAAUGUGUCGUUCUGAAGGAUCACUGAGAGGAGGUGAUUAGUGAAUGUGUCGUUCUGAAGGAUCACUGAGAGGAGGUGAUUAGUGAAUGUGUCGUUCUGAAGGAUCACUGAGAGGAGGUGUUUAGUGAAUGUGUCCUUCUGAAGGAUCCCUGAGAGGAGGUGAUUAGUGAAUGUGUCCUUCUGAAGGAUCCCUGAGAGGAGGUGAUUAGUGAAUGUGUCCUUCUGAAGGAUCCCUGAGAGGAGGUGAUUAGUGAAUGUGUCCUUCUGAAGGAUCCCUGAGAGGAGGUGAUUAGUGAAUGUGUCCUUCUGAAGGAUCCCUGAGAGGAGGUGAUUAGUGAAUGUGUCCUUCUGAAGGAUCCCUGAGAGGAGGUGAUUAGUGAAUGUGUCCUUCUGAAGGAUCCCUGAGAGGAGGUGAUUAGUGAAUGUGUCCUUCUGAAGGAUCACUGAGAGGAGGUGUUUAGUGAAUGUGUCCUUCUGAAGGAUCACUGAGAGGAGGUGUUUAGUGAAUGUGUCCUUCUGAAGGAUCCCUGAGAGGAGGUGAUUAGUGAAUGUGUCCUUCUGAAGGAUCACUGAGAGGAGGUGAUUAGUGAAUGUGUCCUUCUGAAGGAUCCCUGAGAGGAGAGGCAUAUCUCAGCCUGUCCUAUUGUCAUCUCAAAGAGGUUAGCGCCAGGGGUUCGACUAGGGUUGAGCCAUGCUAAUAUAAUAUAAUAAUAUAAUAUAUGCCAUUUAGCAGACGCUUUUAUCCAAAGCGACUUACAGUCAUGUGUGCAUACAUUCUACGUAUGGGUGGUCCCGGGAAUCGAACCCACUACCCUGGCGUUACAAGCGCCAUGCUCUACCAACUGAGCUACAGAAGG